rnacentral:rRNA from 1 species
UUCCGGUUGAUCCUGCCGGAGGCUACCGCUAUUGGAGUCCGAUUAAGACAUGCGAGUCGAGAGCUUUCGGAGCUCGGCAUACUGCUCAGUAACACGUGGGUAACCUGCCCUAUGCUGGGGGAUAACCUCGGGAAACUGAGAACAAUACCCCAUAGUCCACUACGCCUGGAACGGUGAGUGGAUAAAAGCCCCGGCGGCAUAGGAUGGGCCUGCGGCGUAUCAGGUAGUAGGGGGUGUAAAGUACCCUCUAGCCUUCGACGCGUACGGGUUGUGAGAGCAAUAGCCCGGAGAUGGAUUCUGAGACACGAAUCCAGGUCCUACGGGACGCAGCAGUCGCGAAACCUUGACAAUGCGGGAAACCGUGAUCAGGGGACUCCAAGUGCCAGGAGUAAGAUCCUGUGCUUUUCUUUUCUCUUCAAAGGAUUUGGAAUAAGAGGUGGGUAAGGACGGUGCCAGCCGCCGCGGUAAUACCGGCGCCUCGAGUGGUAGUCGAUUUUAUUGGGCCUAAAACGUCCGUCGCCUGUCUGGUGCAUUCGUGGGUAAAUCAACCCGCUCAACGGGUUGAAUUCUGCGAGCACGGCCAGACUAGGGACCGGGAGAGGUGUGGGGUACGCUCGGGGUAGGGGUAAAAUCCUGUCAUCCCGAGCGGACCACCUGUUGCGAAGGCGCCACACUAGAACGGAUCCGACGGUCAGGGACGAAGCCUAGGGGCACGAACCGGAUUAGAUACCCGGGUAGUCCUAGGUGUAAACGCUGUGGACUUGGUGUUGGGAACUCCCAGAGGGCUCUCAGUGCCGUAGCGAAGUGAUAAGUCCACUGCCUGGGGGAGUACGGUCGCAAGGCUGAAACUUAAAGGGAAUUGGCGGGGGAACACCGCAACCUGAGGAUUGUGCGGUUUAAUUGGAGUCAACGCCGGGA